ACAGAUCGUUCAGAGUUUGAUCCUGGCUCAGGAUAAACGCUGACAGAAUGCUUAACACAUGACAAGUCGAUGAGUUGGGAGACUAACCUAGCUUAGAAGAAGUCAUGGCGGACGGGUGAGUAACGUGUAAAGAACUUGCCCUCUAGACUGGGAUAACAGAUAGAAAUGUCUGAUAAUACCGGAUAUUAUUGUUACAUGGCAUCAUGUAGGAAUGAAAGGAUAAGAUUGCUAGAGGAGAGCUUUGCAUCCUAUUAGCUAGUUGGUAAGGUAGAGGCUUACCAAGGCGAUGAUAGGUAGCCGGCCUGAGAGGGUGGACGGCCACAAGGGGACUGAGAUACGGCCCUU
rnacentral:rRNA from 1 species